UCUGAAAACAAAUGCUCUGUAAGGCUACACAUGUAUUAUUAUUGCUCCUUCUUUGAGGCCACUGGGAGCAACAUCCAAGGGGUUGGGGCACAUGUUGCUUGUGGACCACUGAUUGGGCAUCACUAAUCUAAAUUAUAUGUAAGAGACGUACCUGCAGCCUUGUCUCUUUACAUGGUCAUGCAGCUUCUACGUGACACUUAAAUAGUUCCCUAUCGACCGUGUACUCUCCAUGGAAAGUGCGUUUGAGCUAUUUUAAUCUGCACAGUUGAAGUCUUCCAACUCGUUGUAUUGUGUGUGGAGAAAAAAAGGCAUUGCCGUAAUCAUUCAGUCACUUAUCUGUUGCUUAUUAAUGCUGAAAGUACCUAAUAAUCCUAAUAAGGAUUCAUCCAUUCUAUAUUACAGAUGAGGCGCCAUGCUCCCCUGAUGGAUGGAAAAACCAACAUGGAGCAUCACAAUAUACUUUCAGAUGAGGCACCAUGCUCCCUUUAUUGCUCUUGGAUGGAAAAACCAACAUGGAGCAUCGCUAUAUCCGUUCAGGUGUCUGAUGGAAAAGACUUUGCAGUGUAGUUUCGAUGAGGCGCCAUACUCCCUUUAUUGCUCUUGGAUGGAAAAACCAACAUGUAGCAUCACUACAUUCUUGCAGGUAGGAUGAAUCCUGCAGAAGAGAUGGCUGCUCUGGCAAACAGAUGACAAGUGACCAGUCCCUUUCUGUCUCCAGUGAUGGAAAAGACUUUGCAGUCCUGUUUCUAAUGAGCCGCCAUGUUUCUUUGAUUGCUCUUGGAUGGAAAAACCAACAUGGAGCAUUCCUAUAACUUUUCAGAUGAGGCACCAUGCUCCCUUUAUUGCUCUUGGAUGGGAAAAACCAACAUGGAGCAUCGCUAUAUCCGUUCAGGUGUCUGAUAGAAAAGACUUUGCAGUGUCGUUUCAAUGAGAUGCCAUACUUCCUUUAUUGCUUCUUGAAUGGAAAAACCAACAUGGAGCAUCGUUAUAUCCUUUCAGGUCUAACCAAGGAGCCCAUAGAUUGAGAACAUGUGGAUGUUUUUGACAUUUUCUUCAGCAGCAUCUGCAGAGUUCUGACCAUGUUGUCCAAAAUGGAACAUUGUUAUCCCUCCUUGAUGAGUGCAACGAGUUCCUAUGAGCUCUGAAUAAAGGAAGAAUGUGGAGUUUUGAUGCUGGAGCAACCCCUUGCUGAUCAUCUUGCAUCCAGAUAAAUGUAUCCUACGCAGAUUGUUCUUUUAUUGCUGUAGUGUUGGGAACCUGUAGAUCUUAUCAGCACCAUCUAGUCACUGCCUGACCAAGAAUAUUCUCUGCCUUGCACUACAGAGGUGAUUCCCAAACCCACUUUCCUUUUCAUAUUCAACUGCAGUUUAUUAUAGGAUUAAUAAAAGAAAGUUGACCCUCUA